rnacentral:siRNA from 1 species
AUAGUUACGGAUAGCUUUUAGAUC